UACAGAGGGGGCAAGCGUUGUUCGGAAUUACUGGGCGUAAAGGGCGCGUAGGCGGCCUGUUAAGUCGAACGUGAAAUCCCCGGGCUCAACCCGGGAACUGCGUCCGAUACUGGCAGGCUUGAAUCCGGGAGAGGGAUGUGGAAUUCCAGGUGUAGCGGUGAAAUGCGUAGAUAUCAGGAGGAACACCGGUGGCGAAGGCGGUUCUCUGGGCAUUACCUGACGCUGAGGAGCGAAAGUGUGGGGAGCGAACAGG
rnacentral:rRNA from 1 species